AUGCAUUUGUUUAUCAGUGCUGAAAACUUCAGCGGGGCUUUCAUGGGCUAUGUGCAAACUUGCAUGCAGGAAUUCAGGUGUGAAAAGGUGCACACAGGAGAGAGAAAACAGACCCAAAAUGAUUUACAGCAAUACUUCCUCUUAAACCUGGGUUUGAUGCACUUCAUGAAGCGUGACGUCAUUGGCUCCUGUUCUUACUAGACCAGAGUUUCUCUGCUUCUCCCAUGAGUUUCAGACAUUCUACGGGUUACAAAGCCUACUUUUGGAGGUAUUCAGUUGCUUAGGGUGUGGCCAAAAAAUAUUACUAUUGAGCUGAAUACUCUUCAGUGAUUAACACAUAGUCACUGUGAUGUCAUAACUGCUUUCACAGUAAUACCUCCAUUUGUUAUAGCUAAUAUUAUAUUUGUGUUUUGAUGCUUGGAUUUAUCACUGAUAAAGUCACUUUUAAUAUGUACAGCAUAUUGGCUGUUAAGUACA